CAAAGAAUAUGAGGCAAGGCUUGAUUCUAGACACUAAGACAAACCCAGUUUAAGCUGAUGCCAUAGCUCUAAAGAAGGGCCAUCUGUUCAGCUCUAAUAGUAUUUUCUUUUUUUUUUUCACCUUUGUAGCUUAGUUUUAAACCCUGUCUGGGACACCUGCUCGAUGUGAAAUGAUACUGGCAGGUCUCAGUCCAUUUGUGGCUAGCUGAAAUUUUCCAUCUUCCUUUCCAGAAAAAUGGUCCAUAAGGAAAUUAAGUGAAAAGAGUGAGAUGUCACACAUGGAUUCACGUGUAGGUGUGCUAGAGGCCUAGAUAAUCUUCCUGUGUGAAAAGUACAAUAUAAAUUCAGCACUGGUUCAUUGGUUCAUCCACUUUGCUUCUCAGCAGCUCUCUAACACCUGAGGUCUCCUGUCUCCUAAAGAUGAUGCAACUUUAGGGAUAUCUUUUUACUAUUCUAAGCCCCUGCACAAUUUGAGCUGAGAUUGUAGCAUGGCUUGAAAUUGGCUGUGAUUUGCGGCUUCAUUUAAACAGGGACGGUGUAUGAAAGUAGUGUUAAGAGGUACAUGUUCUGUGCUUUUUUACAUUAUGUAAAUAGAUCUAAAGUCUCCAGAAAUAACAAAGAAUAUUCAGAGUUUAUGAGUAAACAGAUUAGAUGCCUUCAGACCACAUACUACUCAAGAGAAAAAGUGUACACCAUAUGUUACUAUAACCCAAGGCAAUGUUCCUAUGUGGUAUGAAUUUUGAUGUCAAAAGUCAAUAAAGUCUUUUCCAUAUAAAUUUAAAGCCACCAAAAAGUUCACUGAAUUUACUAAUACACAAUUAGUUUCUUGUUACAGAUAAUUUCUAUUGAUCCAAAUCUGGUUUGUCAGCAUGGAUUAAUCAAAAUUGUUAGGAAUUGAGAUCUGGGUGGCUCAAGGGAUCCAUUCCUGGGCUACAAGCCUUUCACCCCCAGGUCACUGUUUUCAAUACUUAAAGGAGUUUUGAGAGGCCCAUUUGACAGCUGGUGUGAAACAAACCAGUACUUUCAACUAAGUCCCUCACACAGAUUCAUCGUUCCUUAUAUUCAAAGACACUAUCACUUAUUUGUCUGAUAGUCUAUGUAAAGUGAAAAAUUAUUGCCUUAUCAGCAGUCCUGGUUAUUAUUCAUCGAUAUGUUCAUAUUUCUAAUCUCCUAUGGUAAACAGUAACAGUUGUUAUCUUUAAGGCCUGCUGUAUGUAAUUAUUGAAUAUUUAUCUCAGUAUGACAUUUUCCUGCAAAGGAAACCAGCUGAUCUCUGAUUGGCUCCUCAGACAAUUAUAUAAUCUUUCCUUUGCAGAAUAAACUGUAGAAAUGUUUCUUUUCUGGAAAUUAUUUGUGUGUAUCUCCUUUGUUUGCCUUUCAAGGUCUUUUCUGAGGUGCCGGUUGUAAUGUUCUUAUGUUUCUUAUUAAAUAAAAACUCCAGGUCCAUGUCCUCCAGAUAGAUGGCUUCCUUGGAGAAAUACUAUUCCUAGCAGUUCUUGGGUUAGAUGAUUAUCCUUCACUUUCUUAGUGGUUGGGAGGCUUUUAACCUUAUCCUGGGCAUGCAUGGUGAUCUGCUAGGUAGCACAUAGGCCCUGAUCUUUGAUCUCAUCACAGGAGGUCAAAGAUCUGAAGACUGCUCUUUCUUUCAGCCCUCAACCUGGUUGAAGUUGCUAAGACUAUUCACUUUAUUCAGGGUGAAUCAGGUAAUCUUGUUUUCUAGAUCUUUUACAACUGUAGAUCCGGCAUUGUCAGUGCUGUGGCAUGGGUUCGAUCUAUGGCCCAGGAACUUCCACAUGCCA
rnacentral:lncRNA from 1 species